GGAGAGAUGGCCGAGUGGUUGAAGGCGCACGCCUGGAAAGCGUGUAAACAGGUAACUGUUUCGGGGGUUCGAAUCCCUCUCUCUCCGCCA
rnacentral:tRNA from 3 species